rnacentral:rRNA from 1 species
GUGCCAGCAGCCGCGGUACGACGAAGGUGGCAACCGUUGUUCGGAAUCACUGGGCAUAAAGCGCACGUAGGCGGGCACGCAAGCCAGGUGUGAAAUCCCUCGGCCCAACCGAGGAACUGCGCUUGGAACUGUGUGCCUUGAGGACGGGAGGGGAGCGUGGAAUUCCUGGUGGAGCGGUGAAAUGCGUUGAUAUCAGGAGGAACACCGGCGGCGAAGGCGACGCUCUGGCCCGUUUCUGACGCUGAGGGGCGAAAGCCAGGGGAGCAAACGGGAUUAGAUACCCCGGUAGUCCUGGCCGUAAACGAUGGGUACUAGGUAGAGGUGUUCCAAUGCAUCUCUGCUGUAGAUAAUUCAUUAAGUACCCCGCCUGGGGAGUAUAGUCGCAAGGCUGAAACUUAAAUGAAUUGACGGGG